CAUACUCAGCAACAAAAUUGAGGAGGAGAGAAGGAGGAAAGGGGUACAUCUGUAGCAAUGCUGUUUGCCUUCCCAAAUAAGCCAUCACAUGUGAUGAGCUCUACAUUCCUGGAAAUGGCCCGCUGAUAGGAAGCAGUGAAUGAACUUCUUGUUUUUCUUUGCUUGUGACCAUAGCUCUUGCUUUAUCUAUUCCUGAAUAUUCACAUGAAUGGAUUUUGAUACAAUUGUGAAGACAGCCAUAGAGAGAAGGUGCCUCCUGCCCAAUGAGAAAUAGGGUUGAACUGGGCUACUGCCAUUCUUAGUGGCAAACCUACACUUCUCCACAUGACAGAUGGCUUUCCUCAGCAUCUUCUGCUGUUCUGAUAGAAGAGUACAGGGACCCAUUCCUCUGCUGUGUUCUUCUCUUGGGACAUCAUCCUGUGUUUCCUGCUGAACAACCAGAAACCAGAGUUGAUAUUCCCCCUCUGUAGCUGGUGUCCAGGAACGAUAACUGCCUGGAGAUGUGAAAUUCAGUGAUCACUUCAGAUGUCAAGAAUAAACAAAGAUUCAGGGAUUUGCAAAAUAACCUGCAACUGAAGGAAACCAGAACACAGAGGUCAGUUCCAUCUAUGCAACUCCAAACAAGUGAAUGAAGUUUGCAAGAACAGUUAGUAGACCUGACAAAUAUGUGGUGUUAAUCAAAUAUUAUUGUGCUAGAUUUUGCUACUCUUCCUUCAACUGGGACAAAUUGUCAGAUUAUUCAAAUUUUUAUGAGUCUCUCGGCACUAGUGCAAUAAAACACUGAUCUUAAAUCUAUGAGAAUUUAUCUGGGCAGUAUUGCUGUCUACUAGAUAUCAAGCUGUUUUGUCAAUGUCUUCUGAUUCUAAUAUUACUCGGUGUGAGGAAUUAUCGUAAUGUAAGCAUUAGGAUUUGUGUCAUGGCCUUGGGUCAUCUGUAAAAAGUAGAAUUUUUCUGCAAAUCCUCUUGUUUCCUUUUACUGUCGAAAGGAACACAAAUUUUGGAACCUGCAGUUCAUGCAAUUCACUCAGAGGACAUCAAAUCCCUGUGAAAGGAUGGAAGAGAAGAAGACAACAUACUGUCUUAGUAUUUUUCUGCUGAUUCUUUCAAAUUGCUUGCUACACUAAAGGAAAAUGUUUCAACUCUAUAGGAACUCAAGAUGCGUGGUUCCAUGGCAAGAGUCUUGCAUACAGUGAAGUCUUGCACUCAUAUCUUGGAAAUAAAUUCAAAAGGAUCUGUGUUGAAUUUGACUGAAAGUUUGAGAAGAGUCACAGAGGAAGGAGGGACAAACAAGGCCAUUUGCCCAUAGACCACUCAAGCAGUGUAACUAUGCAAGGCCUUCUAAAAGCAGAAACAAUUCCAAAAGCAACAGGCAG